rnacentral:rRNA from 1 species
CCUACGGGGAGCAGCAGUGGGGAAUAUUGGGCAAUGGGCGCAAGCCUGACCCAGCAACGCCGCGUGAAGGAAGAAGGCUUUCGGGUUGUAAACUUCUUUUCUCAGGGACGAAGCAAGUGACGGUACCUGAGGAAUAAGCCACGGCUAACUACGUGCCAGCAGCCGCGGUAAUACGUAGGUGGCAAGCGUUAUCCGGAUUUACUGGGUGUAAAGGGCGGGUAGGCGGGGACGCAAGUCAGAUGUGAAAACCACGGGCUCAACCUGUGGCCUGCAUUUGAAACUGUGUUUCUUGAGUACUGGAGAGGCAGCCGGAAUUCCUAGUGUAGCGGUGACAUGCGUAGAUCUUAGGAGGAACACCAGUGGCGAAGGCGGUCUGCUGGACAGCAACUGACGCUGAGGCGCGAAAGCGUGGGGAGCAAACAGGAUUAGAUACCCGAGUAGUC